UACGGGGGGGGCAAGCGUUGUUCGGAUUUACUGGGCGUAAAGAGCGUGUAGGCGGCCAAACAGGUCCGUUGUGAAAACUGGAGGCUCAACUUCCAGACGUCGACGGAAACCGUAUGGCUAGAGUCCGGAAGAGGAGUGUGGAAUUCCUGGUGUAGCGGUGAAAUGCGCAGAUAUCAGGAAGAACACCUAUGGCGAAGGCAGCACUCUGGGACGGUACUGACGCUGAGACGCGAAAGCGUGGGGAGCGAACAGG
rnacentral:rRNA from 1 species